rnacentral:piRNA from 1 species
UGAGAGGGUGUCCAGUUUGUCUAGUG